CCACAUAUUGGCAUGAUCCUGUUCAGAUAUUUUAUAUGGGGAAGAGGGAAUCUUUGUGUUUUUUCUACAGGAUGCUACAGGAGUGUGCCAGCUGCCCGAGUGGCUGGUGAGACUUGCUGAUCCUGGGAGCAUGAAGAUUCAGCUCUCCUGGUUCGGGUCCCUGGAGUCAUUCCUGUGUCCUUGGAGGAAUAUGGAGGAUUCCCACUCAUCUUUUGUCAUCACAGAAAUUCUGGCGUUGCUGCAGUCAUUGUGUCCCGUCCCACCACGGCCUGCGCUCCGACCCUCUGUGCACUGUUGCUUGGUGGAAGCUGCUGUGGACUGGGGAACUCUGCCCUGGUUUUGCAGAUCUCAGACAUGGUUCCAUUGCCUGCUGGUUGUUCCAGAGAAGAAUGACCGAUCCUGAACUGUCCUGGGAAAGACCUUGGCAUUUUCGCUGCUAUUGUAGCAGCCAUUACUGCUGCAGCCAUUGUGUCUGCAGUGUCUGGAGCUACCCUCCCCCAAUCUAUUGUUAGGCAAGCACAGUGGGUGAACUUUCUGGAGUAGUUGCUAACAAUUGGGAAUUCUAAAUUUUAUUACAGGAGAGGCUUGACUAGGCCCUUGGUGGUAUGGCCAUAACAGCUGAGGAGAACCAGAUGAGGUGCCUACAACUUAUCGGGAGAGGCUCAGUUUCCACAGUCUCUUAUAU
rnacentral:lncRNA from 1 species